rnacentral:rRNA from 1 species
UACGGAGGGGGCUAGCGUUGUUCGGAGUUACUGGGCGUAAAGCGUACGUAGGCGGCUUUUUAAGUCAGAGGUGAAAUCCCACGACUCAAUCGUGGAACUGCCUUUGAGACUGGAUCGCUUGAAGAUGGGAGAGGUAAGUGGAAUUCCGAGUGUAGAGGUGAAAUUCGUAGAUAUUCGGAAGAACACCAGUGGCGAAGGCGGCUUACUGGACCAUUCUUAACGCUGAGGUACGAAAGCGUGGGGAGCAAACAGG